GAUGAACGCUGGCGGCGUGCCUAACACAUGCAAGUCGAACGAAGCUGUUUAACGGAAGCCUUCGGGUGGAAGUUAAAUAGACUGAGUGGCGGACGGGUGAGUAACGCGUGGGUAACCUGCCCUACACAGGGGGACAACAGCUGGAAACGGCUGCUAAUACCGCAUAAGCGCACAGUACCGCAUGGUACAGUGUGAAAAACUCCGGUGGUGUAGGAUGGACCCGCGUCCGAUUAGCUAGUUGGUGAGGUAAGAGCCCACCAAGGCGACGGUCGGUAGCCGGCCUGAGAGGGCGGACGGCCACAUUGGGACUGAGACGCGGACCAGACUCCUACGGGAGGCAGCAGUGAGGAAUAUUGGUCAAUGGACGAGAGUCUGAACCAGCCAAGUCGCGUGAAGGAUGACUGCCCUAUGGGUUGUAAACUUCUUUUAUAGGGGAAUAAAAAGUGGGACGUGUCCUAUAUUGUAUGUACCCUAUGAAUAAGCAUCGGCUAACUCCGUGCCAGCAGCCGCAGUAAGAC
rnacentral:rRNA from 1 species